rnacentral:lncRNA from 1 species
CCGUCAUAGGUGACCCCAAGCAAUUCGCUUGUUUUUUGGCUAUACGAUGAAUUUAUGGGAUAUGUUAUGCAAUGACUCCAUGUGGUGGUAGUAGCGUUAGAGUCUCUAUGCGACUCCGUUGCGAGAGUCUCGAAUCAAGACCCCAUUUGCUCCGGAGUGUACAUGCAAAGAGAGAGAAAAAUAGAAUUAGAGAAAAGAAAUAUUAUCCUAUUCAUAAAAUAUGUGAAGAGACGCAACUACGAGAAUCAAUACCAAAUCAGAAACAAGUCUAUAUUCUUUAUUAUCCAUAGGCAUUCAGGAUGGUCCAUUCUAUGUCAUUUGAAACUUCAAGAAUCAUCUUUCUAAUCACUCAGUCUCAUACUAACAAAUUGCAAGAGCAUGUAACUAUGCCUAACAACAAAUAUUUUUAUAAAAUAAUAAUUAGUAAAAUCUGGAUUUACUCUAAUCAAUUAUUUGAAAGCCAAAUAAGUAUUCUACAGAAAUGAUUUCUAAAGGCAUCCCUUUUCAAUUAAAUAAAAAUCUAUUAAGCAUGUAGGCAUAGUUUCUAUAUGACCUUAAUUAUUGUAGAUGAUUUUAAAGGAAAAACAAAAAUCACAUCCUCAGCACAUAAAAAUCUCAAAAGAAACAACAACGAGACUUCACUUUGAAUAUCCAAACAAGUUUCUUACUUCAUGUAAGCAAAUCAUGAAUCUUCUUUAGAUGAAUAAAGACAUAAUCAUCACACACCAGUUCAAAGAUGGACAACUAAUAUUUUAACCCUCUUUAGCAGAAAAAAAAAUUUCAUUUUACAUAACAAUUAAGUAAGUAAGCAGUAAAAUAACAUUAUGUAUCACAUUUGCCAAGUCAUUCAGAUUAAAUAGAUUUUUAAGCUGUAACAAACAAAACUUCGAAUCCGAAAAAAAAUAAUAAAGAGAAGAAGAGGAAAAAUCUUUAAAGUCACUGACCUGUUGCGGGGCAUGAACUGAGGUGUCAGCUUUGGAUCUACUGAACUUCGACCUCGAACUUGCUAACUCAAAUGAUUUUUAAACGAUGCAAUCGUCAACAAAAUGCAGCACCUCUAUUGUAUUUAAAACCAACAGAAUCAAGAGGCAAGAGAAAAGAGAAGAUUUUUGGCAAGGCAAAAUUAUGAGAACAAAUGAGAGCAGUAGCUUUUAUGAGUCAUCGAGCUGCGG